rnacentral:tRNA from 1 species
GCAUAGCUCAGAUGUAAAAGCAUCCCGAUUUCAAUCGGGACGAUCGAAGGUUCGAAUCCUUCUGCGU